rnacentral:rRNA from 1 species
GACGAACGCUGGCGGCGUGCUUAACACAUGCAAGUCGAACGGAAAGGCCCCGCUUUUGUGGGGUGCUUGAGUGGCGAACGGGUGAGUAAUACGUGAGUAACCUGCCCUUGACUUUGGGAUAACUUCAGGAAACUGGGGCUAAUACUGGAUAGUACAUGUCGCUGCAUGGUGGGGGUUGGAAAGUUUCGACGGUUGGGGAUGGACCCGCGGCUUAUCCGGUUGUUGGUGGGGUAGUGGCUUACCAAGGCUUUGACGGGUUGCCGGCCUGGGAGGGUGACCGGCAACAUUGGGACUGGGAUACGGCCCAAACUCCUACGGGAGGCAGCAGUGGGGAAUAUUGCAAAAUGGGCGGAAGCCGGAGGCAGGAACGCCGCGGGCGGGAGAACGGCCUUCGGUUGUUAAACCGCUUUCGCCGGUGACGAAGCAUAAGUGACAGUAAUGGGUAAAGAAGCACCGGCUAACUACGUG